rnacentral:tRNA from 1 species
CCCGGCCCGGAUCAGCGUCCAAGGGUCACGAUCUCUUUUGGAAUUCGAGACCGCCGACGAUCCGAGAGACUUUUUUA